UUUGAUCCUGGCUCCAGGACGAACGCUGGCGGCGUCCAUAACACAUGCAAGUGAAACGAGAAAUCUUUUCGGAAAUCUUUGGACGGAAGAGGAGAUGGAAAGUAGCGGACGGGUGAGUAACGCGUGAGAAACAUGCCUCACACAAGGGGAUAGCCAUUGGAAACGGUGAUUAAUACCCUAUGACAUGGACGCUUCGCAUGGAGCAGCCAUUAAAGUGUUAGCGGUGUGAGAUGGUCUCGCGUCUGAUUAGCUAGUUGGUGAGAUAAUAGCUCACCAAGGCGACGAUCAGUAGCCGGCUUGAGAGAGUGAACGGCCACACUGGAACUGAGACACGGUCCAGACUCCUACGGGAGGCAGCAGUGGGGAAUAUUGCACAAUGGAGGAAACUCUGAUGCAGCGACGCCGCGUGAGCGAAGAAGGCCUUCGGGUUGUAAAGCUCUGUCCUUGGUGAAGAUAAUGACGGUAGCCAAGGAGGAAGCCCCGGCUAACUACGUGCCAGCAGCCGCGGUAAUACGUAGGGGGCGAGCGUUGUCCGGAAUUAUUGGGCGUAAAGGGUACGUAGGCGGUUUUUUAAGUCAGCAGUUAAAGCGCGGGGCUCAACCCCGUAAAGCUGUUGAAACUGGAGAACUUGAGAGAUGGAGAGGAAAGUGGAAUUCCUAGUGUAGCGGUGAAAUGCGUAGAUAUUAGGAGGAAUACCGGUGGCGAAGGCGACUUUCUGGACAUCAACUGACGCUGAGGUACGAAAGCGUGGGGAGCAAACAGGAUUAGAUACCCUGGUAGUCCACGCCGUAAACGAUGAGUACUAGGUGUCGGGGGUCAAACCUCGGUGCCGUCGUAA
rnacentral:rRNA from 1 species